ensembl:misc_RNA Metazoa_SRP Metazoan signal recognition particle RNA
ACUGAGUUUGGUGGUGUGCUCCUGUAGUUCCAGCUACUCAGGAGGCCGAGGCAGGAGGGGUGCUUGAGCCUAGGUGUUCUGGGCUGUAGUGAGCUAUACCUAUCUGGUGUCUGCAUUAAGUAUGGCAUCAAUAUGGUGACCUCCCAGGGACAAGGGACCACCAGAUUGUCUAAGGAGGGGUGAACCUAUCCAGGUUGGAAUUGGAGAAGGUCAUAAUUCUCAUGCUGAGCAGUCAUGCAGUCGCACCUGUCAAUAGCCACUGCACUCCAGUCUGGGCAACACAGUGAAAGUCCGUUUCUA